UCUCAGUACUCAACCCUUGAGCCAGGCACACCCCAACUAGUACUAGUAUAGUAAGCCUUUCUUAAUCAGGAGAUUGAUGGAGGUUGAAAGUUUUUAAUUUGUGCCUCACACAACUUAUAUUAAUUGUGCGAAGUUUUUCAUCUCGUUGGGCCCAUAAAAUUUUGGGUCGGCCAAAUGAGGACACAACAUAAAACUUUUCACGUUUCAAAAAAAUUUCUAAGUUUUUCUUCAGCACUUUUCCUCUCCCUUCUCUGUAAAAAUCAUGUUUGCUUAUGUUUGAAUAAAGCUUCUAUUUUAUCCAGGUGCUUCUUACGAGCCUAGGCACUAGUUGGGUUUCUACUGCGGAGACUUCAAGGUUUGGUAUCAGUGAGGAGGUUUGACCAGCCACAAAGGUACAAAUACAAACCAUUUGUUAGCAGGUGGAUCGUGCAACUGGACCUUGAAAUUGGAAGUGUCAGAGAAGUGAAUGUUAAGUCUGGACUCCCGGCUACCACAAGUAAGGAGAGAUUAGAGCUUUUAAAUGACUAGGAGCAUAUCUUUGGUGUAAAGAUUGUCAGUGGGGAUCACAGGCUUAAGGUAUGAAUCUUUUAUCUUCUCAUUUGAUAUGUUAAUUGACUUGUUAGAUGCUUAUUUGUAUGUGUUAGGUAACCUUGUUAAAAAAGAAAAAAAAUUAUUUGUGCUGGCAACUUAUUUGAGAUAACACAAUUUGAGCUUCUAAUUGAAGUUUCAUUUUCCUGAAAGAAGGAAUACAGAAUCUAAUGUAUUUUCAAUGCUAGUAAACUAUGUUGCUGCAGCUAUCUUGCAUCUUCGUGUUACUGUCAUAAGUUUAACUAUCAUGCUUUGGCGUUUCUGUCACUUUUCGCAUAUCAAGAGAAAAAUAAUUUAUUUUUCCUGUUUUGCCCAUAACAUUAAUUACUCAUUUUCCAAAUCCAUUAAGACUAUACACCAAUUAAUAUGGGUAUCAUGGUAACUUAUGCACUUUAUUUAUUAUUUCUUAUGGGGUGUGCAAAGUCAAUAGUGGACAAGUAAAAGUGAACGGAGGGAGUAAUUACCCCAGGUUACUAUCUCAAGCUUGAGCAUUGAGAGCUUUUUUGAACUUGUCUCAAGUCAAGAGUCUGAUCUUUGAGUUAACUUGUCUCUGUUAAAUGGUUCAGAACCACCAGUGAUAGUAGUUUUUUUUUAGUACAUUAAAUGAAAAAACUACUCAUAUAUGCCCCGCCUGUAAGUUCCUUUGUCGUUGGGGAACAGAUUUACAAUCUCUUAUCUAAUGAAUAUGAAUUUGCUAUAUAAUAUUCACUGACCUAGCUGCUCAUUGCUAGAACUUUGAACUUGAACUGAAGCUGUCAUGAUACUUUUGGCCGGGGGGUUAUAUGUCAAGGUUCAAUGCGGAUAAGCGAGAACUUUGUGGGUGAUCUUUUUGGUGUUCAUCUUAAUUAACACUGAGUGCAUUCUCAGGCAUUUUGUGUUUGAAUAUUACAUAGAAGCUGCUUGUUACUGUUUUCUAGUUGAGAGAGUAC